AGACAAGGAAGUUGACUUGUUUAUAGUAUUCGAGCGGCUACCUGGGCAGACACGUUCUCUCCUCCAGACACAAGUGCCUCCAGUGCCUUUUCUUAUAAGGAGUAGUCCCAUGAAUACUUCUCUUGAUGCACUGAAGAAGACAAAAGUGGAAAGAAAAUAAUAUCGUUUAAUAUACAUGCCAAGACCACAUGGUGAGGAGUCACAGGAUGAAAGACUGUUUUAUUACCUAAUGUCAUAUACUUCUGUGUAGGGAGUAUUA